CGGGAUGUAGCGUAAGGGUCAGCGCUCCUGGUUUGGGACCAGGCGGAUGGGGUUCGAGUCCCUGCUUCCCGA
rnacentral:tRNA from 1 species